rnacentral:rRNA from 1 species
AACGAACGCUGGCGGCAUGCCUAACACAUGCAAGUCGAACGAGACCUUCGGGUCUAGUGGCGCACGGGUGCGUAACGCGUGGGAACCUGCCCUUAGGUUCGGAAUAACUCCCCGAAAGGGGUGCUAAUACCGGAUAAUGUCUUCGGACCAAAGAUUUAUCGCCUUUGGAUGGGCCCGCGUUGGAUUAGCUAGUUGGUAGGGUAAAAGCCUACCAAGGCGACGAUCCAUAGCUGGUCUGAGAGGAUGAUCAGCCACACUGGGACUGAGACACGGCCCAGACUCCUACGGGAGGCAGCAGUGGGGAAUAUUGGACAAUGGGCGAAAGCCUGAUCCAGCAAUGCCGCGUGAGUGAUGAAGGCCUUAGGGUUGUAAAGCUCUUUUACCCGGGAUGAUAAUGACAGAACCGGGAGAAUAAGCUCCGGCAAACUCCGU